rnacentral:rRNA from 1 species
UACGGAGGGGGCUAGCGUUGCUCGGAAUCACUGGGCGUAAAGGGUGCGUAGGCGGGUCUUUAAGUCAGGGGUGAAAUCCUGGAGCUCAACUCCAGAACUGCCUUUGAUACUGAAGAUCUUGAGUUCGGGAGAGGUGAGUGGAACUGCGAGUGUAGAGGUGAAAUUCGUAGAUAUUCGCAAGAACACCAGUGGCGAAGGCGGCUCACUGGCCCGAUACUGACGCUGAGAUACGAAAGCGUGGGGAGCAAACAGG